AUUGAACGCUGGCGGCGUGCUUAACACAUGCAAGUCGAGCGGGUAACAGGCGUAGCAAUACGUGCUGACGAGCGGCGAACGGGUGCGUAAUACAUGGGAAUCUGCCUUUUAGUGGGGAAUAACCCGGCGAAAGCCGGGCUAAUGCCGCAUAAGAUCUACGGGAUGAAAGCGGGGGAUCGUAAGACCUCGCGCUGAAAGAUGAGCCCAUGCCGGAUUAGCAGUUGGUGAGGUAACGGCUCACCAAGGCGACGAUCCGUAGCUGGUCUGAGAGGACGGCCAGCCACACUGGGACUGAGACACGGCCCAGACUCCUACGGGAGGCAGCAGUGGGGAAUAUUGGACAAUGGGCGAAAGCCUGAUCCAGCGACGCCGCGUGUGUGAAGAAGGCCUGCGGGUUGUAAAGCACUUUCG
rnacentral:rRNA from 1 species